GCACCCAGCUUUCAAACUGCAAUUUAAAAAAAUUAAAAAUUUUAUAGAUUAAAGGGGCUGUGCUUGUGGGAAAGAUUAAAAUAGUCAGGAUCUGAAGGGGGAGGGCUUCUCAAUGCCUGCCCUCUAUAUGAACUGGCUGUACAAGAAAAA
ensembl:snoRNA